rnacentral:rRNA from 1 species
GAUUCUGGCUCAGGAUGAACGCUAGCUACAGGCUUAACACAUGCAAGUCGAGGGGCAGCAUAUCGAAAGCUUGCUUUGAUGAUGGCGACCGGCGCACGGGUGAGUAACGCGUAUCCAACCUUCCCUAUACUAGAGGAUAGCCCGGCGAAAGUCGGAUUAAUACUCUAUGUUCUUCGUAGAAGACAUCUGAAAUGAAGCGAAGGUUUACCGGUAUAGGAUGGGGAUGCGUCUGAUUAGGUUGUUGGCGGGGUAACGGCCCACCAAGCCCACGAUCAGUAGGGGUUCUGAGAGGAAGGUCCCCCACAUUGGAACUGAGACACGGUCCAAACUCCUACGGGAGGCAGCAGUGAGGAAUAUUGGUCAAUGGACGAGAGUCUGAACCAGCCAAGUAGCGUGCAAGGAUGACGGCCCUAUGGGUUGUAAACUGCUUUUAUACAGGGAUAAAGUUCACUACGUGUAGUGUUUUGUAGGUACUGUAUGAAUAAGGACCGGCUAAUUCCGUGCCAGCAGCAGC